CACCGCGGUUAUACGAGAGGCCCAAGUUGAUAGACCUCGGCGUAAAGAGUGGUUAAAAAUAAACGAUUACUAAGACCGAACACUUCUAGUACUGUUAUACGUAUUCAAAAGUAAGAAGCUCAACUACGAAAGUGGUCUUAACUGUUUUGAAGCCACGAAAGCUAUGAAA
rnacentral:rRNA from 2 species